UACGUAGGGGGCAAGCGUUGUCCGGAUUUAUUGGGCGUAAAGAGCGUGUAGGCGGCCUGACAGGUCAGCUGUGAAAACUCGAGGCUCAACCUCGAGACGUCGGUUGAAACCAUCUGGCUAGAGUCCGGGAGAGGAGAGUGGAAGUCCUGGUGUAGCGGUGAAAUGCGUAGAUAUCAGGAGGAACACCUGUGGUGUAGACAGCUUACUGGACCAUUUCUGACGCUGAGACACGAAAGCGUGGGUAGCAAACAGG
rnacentral:rRNA from 1 species